UCUCCAGUUCCCAUCCGAUCACCACAGUUAAGCAAUAUUGAACCUGGUUAGUACCUAGAUGGGUGACAGCUUGGGAAUACAAGGUGCUGUAAG